rnacentral:lncRNA from 10 species
CCACACCCUUGUGCUCCCUACAUGUUUCAGAUGAAAUGACUGAGUAGCACCAAGAAGAUGAACCUUGCCAUCCCAUCUGGGAACCCUGAAGAUUCUCAGUGGCACAAAGGGAAGGAACUGAGGCAGCGAUGCCAACGGAAGAAGGCCUGUAGUUGCUGAAGCCAGAGUCACCAGUGUGGAUCUCCACUUCUUCCCACCUCCUCAAGCCCCUCCCAUACCUGUGUUUAGAAACUUCACAGGAAGCAGAGUUGGCAAGCAUACCUGAGCUGAUUGCUCUCGCCUCUCUCACCAUCUUGAGUACAUCAUCGUCACCCUCCAGAGCCCUCCUAAACAAGGUUUGGCAACAGCAAAAACAAACACUAUUUUACAACAUCUUUGGAUGCACUUCCAAAACGCAAAAGCAAUUAAUCAGUCAUCUCCCUGAGACUCUCCUCAAGGUGGCUGCUGCCUUUGACAUGGAGCUUGGCUUUGAUGGGAGCCGAAGAAGCAAGUGAAGACAGCCCAAAAAGUGGUAAUGGGCUUCAAUUAUUUAUUUGUUUAGAAGACUGGGGAGUAGAACUUGAGCUGUAAGCACAUGGAUAAUCCAUCUAAGAUGCUCCCAACAGUGAGGUCUUUAACUCCCUGCCAGAGCAUUCUGCUUGGAACGGAAUGGGUAUUUUCACCAAGUCUGGCAUGGAUCCAAAGGUUCCACCAGGCCUCUAGUCUACUUAUUCCAAUGUUGCCAUGAGAAAUGUACACAGCAGUGAGGUCUCUCCUGGCUUAUAAAUCAGUGUGAACAGACACAGGAGUGCAUGUCCAGGGAGGACUUCAUCUCCCUCAGCCAUAGAGGUUGAGGGAUGGACUAUUGGUCUUUGAUGGACACAGUGCCUCUCAGUGAACUGAGCAUCACGUGGGAAAUGUUGGACUACGUCAAUCACAAACAAUAUUUAUUUACUUUUCAUGAUCCAAAAAUCAACCUUGUCUCCAAAGGUGAACAUACCAUCUGCUUUUAU